rnacentral:rRNA from 1 species
CGCAUCUGUGCAUGCAGCAUAUCAAUAAGCGGAGGAAAAGAAACUAACAAGGAUUCCCUUAGUAACGGCGAGUGGAGCGGGAAGAGCUCAAAUUUGAAAUCUUCAAGGUUUUACCUUGACGAAUUGUAGUUUAAAGAAGUGUUUUCUGCUGAAGUUUUGGUAAAAGUUCUUUGGAAUAGGACAUCAUAGAGGGUGAGAAUCCCGUAUUUGACCAUUAUUUCCAGCUUUGUGAUACACUUCAAAGAGUCGGAUUGUUUGGGAAUGCAGUCCAAAAUGGGUGGUAAAUUUCAUCUAAAGCUAAAUAUUGGCGAGAGACCGAUAGCGAACAAGUACCGUGAGGGAAAGAUGAAAAGAACUUUGAAAAGAGAGUUAAACAGUACGUGAAAUUGUCAAAAGGGAAGCGUUUGACACCAGUGUUGUCUUCUCGAAAAUCAAUUAAAAAUGGCUCGAUUUUGUAUUGCUGAGACCUUAAAAGCUCACUGUACAUUUUUCGUGUCUUUUUUAAUGCACUUUUCGUUUAACAAGUCAACAUCAGUUUCUUUUGUUGUAAAAGGGUCAUUGGAAGGUGGCUUUCUUUUCGGAGAAAGUGUUUAUAGCCUUUGGCCUCUGCAAUCGGAGAGACUGAGGUCUGCAGCGUAGACUCUUCGGGGUUAGAUACAUUUGUGCUAAGUUAUAGCUUUUUAUAGACAACUUGUUGACUAUAAUUAGUCUUGUAGCUUACUCGCUUAUGCUAUUUUACCUACGCUUAGGAUGUUGACGCAUGAGAUAUACGC